UACGGAGGAUCCGAGCGUUAUCCGGAUUUAUUGGGUUUAAAGGGAGCGUAGGCAGAUGCUUAAGUCAGUUGUGAAAGUUUGCGGCUCAACCGUAAAAUUGCAGUUGAUACUGGGUGUCUUGAGUACAGUAGAGGCAGGCGGAAUUCGUGGUGUAGCGGUGAAAUGCUUAGAUAUCACGAAGAACUCCGAUUGCGAAGGCAGCUUGCUGGACUGUAACUGACGCUGAUGCUCGAAAGUGUGGGUAUCAAACAGG
rnacentral:rRNA from 1 species